CUGCAAUGCUUGCUUCAUAUGGUGGGCAUUUGUCUACUGUUAAAUAAUGGUAACCAGCUGGCCCAUUUUGCCCAGGACAGCUGCUUGAUCCAGUCAUUGGAAAUGGAGUGAGGGAAGGAGAGGAGGAGGAAUACAGCUCAGGACCUCAGUAACAAACCAGUGUGGCCCUGGGAUACAUAUUCAACUAAAAGCAACAAGAAGAGAGUACCACCCUUCCUUCCCCAUCCAUUCAACUAACAGCAAAUUUCUCAAUCGUCUUGGAGGGGAAGGAACAUGGUGUGAGGGAAAUCAAUGGAUGCGUUGUUGAUGGACUCAAAACGUAUGUGCAACAGCUGUGGAAAUGGCAAAUCCCAUCAUGAAGAUCAUUAUGAAAAAAAUGGAAAUUGCAAUCUUACAGUCAUUGUGGUCAAAAGAAAGAAGGGAGUCUGUAUUAUGUGAAAACAAGGUUGAGAGCAAGACUCGAAAUGGCAAAAAUUCCUCCAAGCUGAUAUAUUUUUUAAGAUUGGCCAGUAUUGGUCUCCCCCCUGAGUACAAUGCUCAGUUUCAACUGCAAAAGUAACUUGUGUCUGUCAUAUAUUUUUUCUUCUUUUGUGGAUGCAAUGAUAACAAAGAGAAAGCAUUCUCUCUUCUCAUGCUGACAAAAGUUAUUUUGUAAGUCCCCUUCAUUUGAUGAGUGACAGGAGACUGGUGUCAAGUGAGAGAAUAAAAUGUAAAUUUUAUUAAACACCUCUCUCAUCUAUGGAUACCAAUCCAGAUUCCAGCAUAACACAGCAAAUCAAAUCCUGUUUUUGCCUUGCCUAAGGGCAACUGAAGAAUCAUUUCUUCUUAAUAUCAUUUUUCCUAGUAAAAUAUUUUUCUGUUUAGUAGCUGAAAAAUUAAAGUACAAACCGGGAAGGGGGGGGGGUGUAUUUUCAACAACAACAAGCUACAUUUUGUGUUGGUGGUGCCUUAUGCUGUCUUUCCAUCUUCAUGCCUGGCUAGAAGUGAUGUUCAACUGCUGCAUAAAAAGGCAAGAUAAAAAUAUGUUAGUAACUUAUCUAGACAAUUUCUUAAUGUACCCAGAAGAAGGCAGUAGCAGGGCCAGGGGUUACCUCAUUGAGUAAAUUUAAGGAAAUAAAAAAGUAUGUACAAACACUACAAAGAAGAACAAAUUGCUGACAGUAUCAGACAAGAAAUAAAAUAGUUCUGACAUUUUAAAA